CCUACGGGGGGCAGCAGUGGGGGAUAUUGCACAAUGGGGGAAACCCUGAUGCAGCGACGCCGCGUGGGUAAAGAAGCGCCUCGGCGCGUAAAGCCCUGUCAGCAGGGAAGAAAAUGACGGUACCUGAAGAAGAAGCCCCGGCUAACUACGUGUCAGCAGCCGCGGUAAUACGUAGGGGGCAAGCGUUAUCCGGAUUUACUGGGUGUAAAGGGGGCGCAGACGGCGAUGCAAGCCAGGAGUGAAAGCCCGGGGCCCAACCCCGGGACUGCUCUUGGAACUGCGUGGCUAGAGUGCAGGAGGGGCAG
rnacentral:rRNA from 1 species